rnacentral:rRNA from 1 species
CGGAGGGUGCAAGCGUUGUUCGGAAUUAUUGGGCGUAAAGGGCAGGUAGGUUGUCUUAUAAGUCUACUGUGAAAUCCCCGGGCUUAACCCGGGAAGUGCGGUAGAUACUGUGAGACUAGAGUGCUGGAGGGGUUCGUGGAAUUCCUGGUGUAGCGGUGAAAUGCGUAGAUAUCAGGAGGAACACCAGAGGCGAAGGCGGCGAACUGGACAGCAACUGACACUCAACUGCGAAAGCGUGGGGAGCAAACAGGAUUAGAUACCCUGGUAGUCCACGCUGUAAACGAUGAAUGCUAGACGUGGUAGGUCUUGACCCCUGCCGUGUCGAAGUUAACACGAUAAGCAUUCCGCCUGGGGAGUACGGUCGCAAGACCA